rnacentral:rRNA from 1 species
GAUGAACGCUGGCGGCGUGCCUAAUACAUGCAAGUCGAGCGAACAGACGAGGAGCUUGCUCCUCUGACGUUAGCGGCGGACGGGUGAGUAACACGUGGAUAACCUACCUAUAAGACUGGGAUAACGUCGGGAAACCUGAGCUAAUACCGGAUAAUAUAUUGAACCGCAUGGUUCAAUAGUGAAAGACGGUUUUGCUGUCACUUAUAGAUGGAUCCGCGCCGCAUUAGCUAGUUGGUAAGGUAACGGCUUACCAAGGCAACGAUGCGUAGCCGACCUGAGAGGGUGAUCGGCCACACUGGAACUGAGACACGGUCCAGACUCCUACGGGAGGCAGCAGUAGGGAAUCUUCCGCAAUGGGCGAAAGCCUGACGGAGCAACGCCGCGUGAGUGAUGAAGGUCUUCGGAUCGUAAAACUCUGUUAUUAGGGAAGAACAAAUGUGUAAGUAACUAUGCACGUCUUGACGGUACCUAAUCAGAAAGCCACGGCUAACUACGUG